rnacentral:rRNA from 1 species
CCUACGGGCGGCAGCAGUGAGGAAUAUUGGUCAAUGGACGAGAGUCUGAACCAGCGAAGCCGCGUGAAGGAUGACUGCCCUAUGGGUUGUAAACUUCUUUUAUAUGGGAGUAAAAUGUUCCACGUGUGGGACUUUGUAUGUACCAUAUGAAUAAGGAUCGGCUAACUACGUGCCAGGAGCCGCGGUAAUACGGAGGAUCCGAGCGUUAUCCGGAUUUAUUGGGUUUAAAGGGAGCGUAGGUGGUUUGUUAAGUCAGUUGUGAAAGUUUGGGGCUCAACCGUAGAAUUGCAGUUGAAACUGGCAGUCUUGAGUGUAGUAGAGGUGGGCGGAAUUCGUGGUGUAGCAGUGAAAUGCUUAGAUAUCACGAAGAACUCCGAUUGCGAAGGCAGCUCACUGGACUACAACUGACGCUGAGGCUCGAAAGUGUGGGUAGCAAACAGGAUUAGAUACCCUUGUAGUC